rnacentral:rRNA from 1 species
AUUGAACGCUGGCGGCAGGCCUAACACAUGCAAGUCGAGCGGUAGAGAGAAGCUUGCUUCUCUUGAGAGCGGCGGACGGGUGAGUAAAGCCUAGGAAUCUGCCUGGUAGUGGGGGAUAACGUUCGGAAACGGACGCUAAUACCGCAUACGUCCUACGGGAGAAAGCAGGGGACCUUCGGGCCUUGCGCUAUCAGAUGAGCCUAGGUCGGAUUAGCUAGUUGGUGAGGUAAUGGCUCACCAAGGCGACGAUCCGUAACUGGUCUGAGAGGAUGAUCAGUCACACUGGAACUGAGACACGGUCCAGACUCCUACGGGAGGCAGCAGUGGGGAAUAUUGGACAAUGGGCGAAAGCCUGAUCCAGCCAUGCCGCGUGUGUGAAGAAGGUCUUCGGAUUGUAAAGCACUUUAAGUUGGGAGGAAGGGCAUUAACCUAAUACGUUAGUGUUUUGACGUUACCGACAGAAUAAGCACCGGCUAACUCUGUGCCAGCCGCCGCAGUAA